GUUUAUUCAUCUUCUUCUCCUCUAUAGAAUAUACCUAUGAAGGCUCAUGUAUGAAUUUUAACUAUUCUUCUACCAAGAAUUGAUUAAGUCAUGGAUGAACAACAACACGCUCUUAUCAGAUGUGGUGGAUUGUUUAUAUGGAGUUGGUGAUAUGGAGAGCGCUGGAUCAAAGUGGAGAAAAAGAGACAUCCAAAUUGUUACUGAUUACAAAGUAAAAAAUAACCUUAUGGGAAGAUUUGGGAGAGAAGCUUGCUCCUUAUUUUCACAAGAAGGAUUCUGGGCCAUAUAUUGUGAUUGUGACUUCCACAACUCUUAAAGAAUUUCAUGGAAUGCAUUGUUACAGUAAGGAGCAAAACUACAGACAUAAUAAACUAUUUUAGACGGUACUACAUUUCAUGCAAUGUAUGCUCGAAGAAGAUUACACUUGCAAAUGGUGUUUAUCCAUACCUCAACUGCAACAAAGAUUGCAAGUUUCCUUUGGUGAAGUACAAGAUACACAUACAAGUGGAAGACAAUACCGAAAAAACUACUUUUGUCUUAUUCAAUGACGUGGCCGAGAAACUCCGUGAUACAUCAGCUCACAAGUUGUUCAACAAGCUAUCAUCGUUAGAUAACAACAAUUUUUCUGCCCACACUCAAAGCCUCUGUUGGAAAGAUUUUAUUUUUAAGCUUAAAUUAAACAGUUACAAUUUGAAAGAGGGGCUUGAAAAUUUUACUGUAUCAAAGCUUUGGAUUCCAUAUGAAAAAUUGGAAUUAGAGUACAAGCUAAAGAAAGAUAAAAAGAAUUUGAUAGAGGAUGAACGUGAGCCAAAAGAUUGUGUUCCCAAAGAACUAUCCACCGAAAAGAACAGAGCACAAAAGAUGAUAGUGUUAGUGAUACGGAGGAUGAAGACAUUGACAUUGAUGGAAAAUCUCAGCAAGCUGAAGGGGUUGACUCUGAACUUUUAGAAGAAGAUAACCAAACUGAAGUUAACUUUGAUGAGGAAGUGAACAUUGUGAAAAAAAAUCUCCAGAACUUUAUUUCUCUGACUUCAAUAGGGCCACCUACUUCAGCAAAUGAUAUUUCAAGCUCCCAAAAGAAGAUGUCAAACAACGGUUUUCAGCUUUUGGUGAAGUAGAGUACUUUGCUCCAAUUCUUACACAAGUCACUAAGUAUGAACUCUACUAUGUGUUUACACUUUGCUGUCUAAUGGAUCCAAUUAAAUUCUUAUUCAACAUGAUACAGACGACCAAGGGGUACAGGAUUUCUCAAAUUUAAAACAGCUGAAUCUACUGAAACUUCUAUUUCUACUACCAGUGUUGUGGAUUGUUUAGGUGUCUUUCUAAAGGGUCGGCAAUUAAAUAUUUUAAAGGCCUUGGAUAAGAAAGUUGCUCAAGAUAAGGAGUUGCACAAGACCAAAAAUAAGGAUAAUGACCACCGUAACCUUUACCUGACAAAGAAGGGUCUUAUUUUGGAGGGCACGCCAGCUGCUGAAGGAGUUUCAGUGAGUGAUAUGUAUAAGAACAAGGGGCAAUUCUUCUGGUCCAGAUGGUACAACCAGCAGCGCAAAAUGUAGGCAUGAAAACUCUGGGUGUUCCACACCUACUGGACCUGCAACCGGGAGUUUUCCCAUAGAGUUAAGGGAAGGGGAUGGAAAACAAAUUUAAAAUAAGCAAUGAAAAGCACAUGGAGUGUCUACGCAACGGGUGUCACAUCCCUUUUUAACUCCAAAAAGAAAUUAAUUUUAUCGUUUGAAAAGGUUUUAUUAUUAAGUGAUAAAAUGUGAAAAAUUAUUUUGAAAAGGACCUUUUAUAUUCCAAACUCAGAGUCGUCACUUGGCAUAAUCCGGUGUGCCAAGUCACCUUUGAAAAAUCCUUUUCAAAAUGAUUUGACUCUUUAAAACUGGUUUGUGAACAGAGAUUCUGGCUAAGGAAUUCUAUUGAUCGAGGGGAAGGUAUUAGACACCCCUCAAUCCUGUGGUUCGACCACGGUCUCUUGGUGGAGCAUAUCAGCUAAUUUGACAUUACAAAUGUAUAAACCACACAAAACACAUAAAAAAAUCAAUCCAACACACGAAAAAAAUGAAUCCAAAAUAUAGUGUUCAGUCCAAUUAUACAGUCCCAAAAUAGAAAAAAUACAAAAACGUAAAUCCUAUCCUAAACUAAUCCUAUACUAAUGCUCUACCCGACGCCUCGGGCCUUUAUCACGAUCAUAUGCCGCCAACAUGAUACAUUGGGGCAUUCAUCGGUGAAUAAAUAAAAUGAGCCUCAGGGCAUUCCCCGGCUAAAUGAAUACAUUUAAUGAAAUACGAUAAAAAUGAAGAAAUCACUCAAACAUAAACAUUUAAACAUUUGAUGAUUAGAAUCCUGCGAGUUGCCUAACCCAAACCUAGAAUUUGCCUACUAGUUUCGGCCUAAAACAUGAUAGUAUCAACGUUCAACAUCAACAAUGAAUCAAAAUACUAUACUAUUCACUCUUAUUGACUUUUCAAUUUCCAACCCAAAACAACCAAUUUUAAUUCUCAAACUAGAUACCAUUUCAUCACAUAAUCCAUAAUCAAUCCACAAUCGAGGGAAUCAAACAAUGAAUCAAAACAACCAACAAUGCUCAUCAUCACAUAUCAACCAACACGAUAUUCAAUCCAAUGCACCAGAUAUCAUCAACAAUGAAAUAAAAAGAGGUGAAAGAGUAGAAUUGGACCUCAUUUAAAUCUUUCGAACUCAAUGUUAUUCGAAUAAAGAGAGUUCGCACCUGGAAACCUCGAAUAGAACCUCCAACAAUGAACUCCCCACUUCGACAAACCUAAAAUUUGAGUUGACCUGAUAAGCUGAUUGAGCCGUUUUAAUUAAUAAUUUUCUGAUUGGGGUUUUGGGUCAAAAAUGGGAAUUGGCGUGUGUGGGUCGCAGAUUCCUCGUGUUCAGCGAUGAUGGAGGUUUCAAUUUCUUCGGUCACUGGUUUUGCAUUUUUCGAUGAGGUUUUUUUGGUCCAAAAUUGGAGCUGGCAGGAUAUUCUCUGGCGAGAAUCUGUUGGAAUAGUAAUAGCGGAAUGCUUUCUGAUCAACACUCUCUCUCUAUUUUUAUCCCUGUCAAUAUCUCUCUCAAUUUCACUAUCUAGCUGAUUUUCUUUCCUCUCUCGCCUCACUCUCUUCUCUCUCUAUGUCUCGAUGUGUGUGUGUCUGCUGGUUAUGUAAAUUUUGGUGAGGAGGAGUGAACUCUAUUCCAUUUUUUAGUGAGCUCCCUAUAUAUGUUAAUGGUGACUGUGUGUAGUCGAUGGUGUGGUCUGUGUGUGUAUGGAAGAGACGAUGGAAUAUGUAUAUGAUGUUUUUUGUGGAGUGGAAAAAUGGAGAUUGUGAGUGUAUUUCUUGUGUGGAGAAGAAGCUGUGAGGUAUUUGUGCGUAUCGUCUAUAUGGCGUGAAUGAAAAUUAGGAGUAUAUGGAGAAGGGUCAUGCUAUUGUGUUUUGUGAUGUGGGACACGUGAGUGGUGUAGGAGUAAGGGUAUGGGGUGGUGAUGAGCUGUCCAAAAUUAAUAGAAGUGGUUAGGAUGAUUAAAACAAGAUUAAAUUUGUUAGGGAUUUUGUUAAAGGUUGUUAUUUUUUGUAUUUUUGUGGAGGUAUAAUCACGUGGGUGAGGGUGUAUGAUAAUGUGAGGUAAAAAUGAAUAAAAUGGAUUUUGGGAGGAACAAAAUUAGGUGUCUACAUCAUGCCCCCUUUUUUGGGUGUAAACACAAAGUAUUUUCAGACAAUAAAGUAGACAAUGAGACCAAAAUUUAACCCAACCAUUAUUCAAAGAAAAGAAACAGAAGGAAGAAGGGAAACCAAGUCUUGACCUAGGACAUCCUACCUACCCAAGUUAUGAGGAAAUCAGGUUACAAGUAUCUCAAAGAAUUGGAAGGAGAGGGACUAUACCGAGUUGGAGAGUUAAGUGAGGCCCUGUCGAGG